rnacentral:rRNA from 1 species
AGUGAACGCUGGCGGCAGGCCUAACACAUGCAAGUCGAGCGGCAGCGCGUCCGACCACCCUCGGGUGGUCGGAUGGCGGCGAGCGGCGGACGGGUGAGGAAUGCAUCGGAAUCUGCCUCGUUGUGGGGGAUAACGUAGGGAAACUUACGCUAAUACCGCAUACGACCUACGGGUGAAAGUGGGGGACCUUCGGGUCUCACGCGAUGAGAUGAGCCGAUGCCGGAUUAGCUAGUUGGCGGGGUAAAGGCCCACCAAGGCGACGAUCCGUAGUUGGUCUGAGAGGAUGAUCAGCCACACUGGAACUGAGACACGGUCCAGACUCCUACGGGAGGCAGCAGUGGGGAAUAUUGGACAAUGGGGGCAACCCUCGAUCCAGCCAUGCCGCGUGUGUGAAGAAGGCCUCGGUUGUAAG